CUCCUGACUCGUUCAUCCCAGACGGUGAGACCACCCCCGCCCCGCUCUGCCAGGACACUCACCCGCUCACACACAGACACGGUCAGGACUAGUCCUGGCCUGUCGCCCAAGCAAGCAGACCAGUUACAGGUCAGACAGACUUCACCCUUCACUGCCCAUGUCACCCAUUCCCCACCUGCUGGUAUCUGAGCUAGAAUUUAGGGGCCCUAAAUCCAGGCUUCUCGCCUCAGCACCAGGUCCUUCCCACUCUCAUCCCUGCCCUUGGCAGUUGAAGAUUCCACCUGAUGAGCCUGCCCUUCAGGAUGAGGACAUGGUAACCGAGGCCUGAGAAGUCGCAGGCCAGAAACAGCACAGCCAGACACCCCUGGUGGAGGGUUUCAGGGACCUAAAACUUCACCCCCCCCCCCCGCCCACCCCCAUGU